rnacentral:miRNA from 1 species
UGACAAUGAGAGAGAGCACAC